rnacentral:rRNA from 1 species
AAUUCGCCCUUAGAGUUUGAUCCUGGCUCAGAUUGAACGCUGGCGGCAUCCCUUACACAUGCAAGUCGAACGGUAACGCGGGGCAACCUGGCGACGAGUGGCGAACGGGUGAGUAAUAUAUCGGAACGUGCCCAGUCGUGGGGGAUAACUGCUCGAAAGAGCAGCUAAUACCGCAUACGACCUGAGGGUGAAAGCGGGGGAUCUUCGGACCUCGCGCGAUUGGAGCGGCCGAUAUCAGAUUAGGUAGUUGGUGGGGUAAAGGCCUACCAAGCCGACGAUCUGUAGCUGGUCUGAGAGGACGACCAGCCACACUGGGACUGAGACACGGCCCAGACUCCUACGGGAGGCAGCAGUGGGGAAUUUUGGACAAUGGGGGCAACCCUGAUCCAGCCAUCCCGCGUGCGGGAAGAAGGCCUUCGGGUU